rnacentral:sRNA from 1 species
AUGGGAGGUGAUGGAGCUGUGGACGAUGCUAACGAAUCCAACGGCGGAGAUGGAGUCAAUAUCAACAUCCGUUGCUCCAACGGUUCUAAGUUUUCCGUCCAGAUUAGCCUCGAUUCCUCCGUUGGAUCCUUCAAAAGCAUUCUCGCUGAGAAAUCCGAUACGCCGACCGAUCAACAAAGGCUCAUUUACAAGGGUCGGAUCCUCAAGGACGAUCAAACUCUUCAAAGCUACGGUACUCAUUUCAUUUCCGAUUUAUUUUUUUAUUUAUUAAUAUCUAAUUCAGAUUUUUAUUUUUUAUUUUUUUUGGUUUAGCUUAUUAGUUAAAUAGUGUUAAUUUUUGGAUCAUUUUUAUUUUUAUUUUUUUUGGUUUGUUUCGUAGAAAUCAAGCUUUGAUAUGAUAUUAGGGCAACGAAGAAUGAUUAUGCGAUGCUUCAUUGUUAAUUGCUAUUUUUGAUGAUUCUAGAAGCAUCUAGAUAGAUCUCAUUAGGAAAUGGAAUGUUAUUGUUGUUUAGAUUAGAAAGAGAUAAAAUGUUAUUUUAGAAUAUUAGUUUAUUUAUUUAUAUAUUCAUGAGAAUGUUAAUGUGAAUGAUUCUAUAAAAAGUCGAGGAACGAUGGAAGGCUCAGACCUAAAAAUAAGUAGAAGUGGUAAAAAACAUGUCAAUUAAGGAGGUAAUAGAGAAUAUGGAUUUGGAUGGAAUAGAAUGGCAAAAGAGAAUACAUGUGUCGAUUAGUCUGUUGAGGUUCCAUAGCAAUCCACAAAAUUUUGGGACCGAGGCUUGGUUGUUGCUUUUUUGUAAUGUGAAUGAUUCUCAAGUGAGCAUGGUGUCGUUUUGAUAAUUAGUUUUGGCAGUGGGUUAACCGACUUAACCUCAGCAUUGAAUUACAGUGAGUUCAAUGUCCUAUUGUCACCUUGGAGUAGCAUGCUUGCUUUUUUUUUUUUUUUUCAGCCAUGUUUAGGCAACUGCCUUAUAUGUAACCUGGCGUUUAUCAGAUUACCUAGUGCUCUCUUUUUUUUCUUUUUCUUUUUUUUUUUUGGAAGAAAAUAAAAAGUGCCUGUUUGGAUUUUCAGCUUUGCUAGCCAACUAUUUUGGGUAAAUCCCAGGUGUUUUAUAUGACAUACAUAUUUGAUUGUAUUCCGAAUGGAAAUGUAGGUGUAUCAUAUCCAUUUAAAAAGAAAAGGAGAUAUAAUUGCCGGCCAUUGAGUGUUUUUUGCUCUUGAGAUAGGUUUAGUUAUAUUGACCAUCUUUUUUGUCUGUGUUUAUAGGUUUGGAGGCAGAUCACACCGUCCACUUAGUUCGUGGCUUUUCUCCAGCUGCAGCAUCCAAUCCUGCUGGUGGAACCAAUCCUGGAGUUCCAAAUACCACUCAAAGUAAUACCAGAAGUGUUGGUUCAAAUGAAGGUGAAGCGUUAGGAGGAGCUGGUUUUGGAGCUUCACUAUUUCCUGGACUUGGUAUUAAUGGUAUGGGUGGUGGGGGCAAUGGUGGUGGUGUUGGUGGCAACGGUUUGUUCGGAGCUGGGCUUCCAGAUUUUGAACAAGUGCAACAGCAGUUGACUCGGAACCCCAACAUAAUGAGAGAAAUAAUGAAUAUGCCUGUUGUUCAGAACCUAAUGAAUAACCCUGAUGUAAUGCGUAACUUGAUUAUGAAUAAUCCUCAAAUGCGUGAAAUCAUUGAUCGAAACCCUGAGCUAGCACACAUACUUAAUGAUCCCAGCACACUUCGUCAGACACUUGAAGCUGCAAGAAACCCAGAACUCAUGCGUGAGAUGAUGCGCAAUACUGAUAGAGCAAUGAGCAAUAUUGAGUCUUCUCCUGAGGGAUUCAAUAUGUUGAGGCGAAUGUAUGAAAAUGUUCAAGAGCCAUUCCUGAAUGCCACAACAAUGGCUGGGAAUGCUGGAAAUGAUAAUGCGAACCCAUUUGCUGCACUUUUGGGGACCCAAGGUGGGGACCAAGCAAGAAAUCCGUCAACCACACCCUCAACCACUAGUUCUGAGACAACUACUGGCUCUCCUGCCCCCAAUACUAACCCACUACCAAAUCCUUGGACUGCAACUGCAGGUAAGAUUUCACUCUCUUACUUCUGCUCUUCUUCUAGAUGCUUUAAUUGUCUUUUGGGGUAAUUUUAGUGUUGCAGCAUAUAAGAUUAACCUGUAUUCUUCCUUCAGAUAAUAUGUCAUAUCCUAAUGCAAUGCAGAACUUUAGUUUAACUGAUCUACAAAGAGGAGAAAAAGAUAUGUUUUGUAUCUUUUCCAUAAAGCUAUGAACUUCAGUGUUUUUCCCUAAUAUCCACAGUACUAAUUGAAUAUGUUGUUUUGAAUUAUCCCUUUGACAAAUUUGUUACCAAUGUCUAAGGAAAAUGGGAAAUGUCACAUGGUUUCUAAGAAUCUAAUUUCUUUGUGAUUUAGAUUGCUGCCCCUUAAAAGUUAUUGAUAAAAUAAAAGUACUGUAGAUAUUUUUGUUGCCAUUGAGCUCUAGCUCAAUUGGUAUCUCUUCCCCUUGUAAGAGUAAGGUGGAGGGUGGGUACCCUCACGUUGUGGCCCACCAGUGCAUGUGUAGUUUACCAAUAAAAAGUACUCUAAAUCUUUUCUUCCUCUGACUUAAAAAUAGGAAUUUUUUUUCUUCUAAUUUGUUUUCUGCUGUUCGAAGAUAUUAACCAGAAUAUUGUUAAUAAAUUGUGACCAAUAAAUAGUUAACUCAAUUAUGUGAAACUAGCAGCUGGAGGUGCACCAACUAGCACCACGAGGUCAAAUCCUACUGGGGAUGCUAGAUCGCAGACUCCCGCUGGCUUAGGUGGACUUGGUCUUCCAGGGCUUGAAGGCAUGUUUGGUGCCAUGCAGGAUACCACUUUAGUCAAUCAGAUGAUGCAAAAUCCAGCUAUGUCACAGAUGAUGCAAAGCCUCCUUUCAAAUCCUCAAUAUAUGAACCAGGUAUUUAAUUAUUAUAUAGUUCAGGAUCUUACUAGAUCAGCACCAAAGAUAUUAUUAUUUGCAUCAGCAUGUUAUACAAUUCACUUAUUAAGUAUAAGUUGUACUUGAGGUCAACUUGUGUCUCUAACAUUACUCAACUUUCAGAUUCUUGGUCUCAAUCCCCAGCUACGCAGCAUGCUUGAUUCCAAUUCUCAACUGAGGGAAAUGAUGCAAAACCCAGAAUUUCUUCGUCAGUUAACUUCUCCUGAAACAAUGCAGGUACAUUAGUAUAAAGUUCUUCAGCAGUUGACACGUGCCCUUGCACAGUUUCUUUCUUGCUCAUACACACAUACACAGACACACACCCUCAUGCUGUGCAAACACGUCUACCCAGCAGUUCCCUUCUUAGACACAUCGUCAUAUGCUCAUCUCUGUGAACAGUGAACACGUUUAUGUAUAGUGUUGGUAUGCAUUCAAAGUUGCUAGUUAUUACUUGCAAUAAAAAGUCUUGGUUUGCAUGAAUGAUGGUUGACUUGGGAAAUAGUUCUUGUAUAAUUUACUUAAGUAAUUUGGCACAUAAAUUCCUUCUGGUGAUAAGCUGAAGUCAAUUCCAUGGUUUUUUUUUUUUUUUUUUUUUUGCUUCUUAUAUUUGUGUUGAUCUCUCUCUGCUUCUCUCUCUCUCAGCAACUCUUGACUUUUUUUUUUUUUUUUUUUUUUUUUUGCUUCUUAUAUUUGUGUUGAUCUCUCUCUGCUUCUCUCUCUCUCAGCAACUCUUGACUUUUCAACAAGCUCUUAUGUCUCAGCUUGGUCGGCAACAGUCAACCCAGUAAGUGGUGACAUAAUCUUUGCCUGUUUUCCUUUCUGUAGAUCAGCAACAACAUUUAAAAAGUCCAAAAAGUAGGUGCAAGAUGGGUAACUCCUAAAAUGGAAAAUCAAUGAUGGCUAGGAUUAUCUAAGAAAUAUGAAAAGAGGAUACAAAGUAGUAGAAGGCAAUCCUCGAGGCCAUAAGAAUAUGAUCUUCUAAAACAUGCUUCAAAAAUACUUAUUAAAAAAAAGUGCUUCAAAUAUGCGCGGAUAGUUCAUUACCUUUUAAAAAUUCUCCUAGUUUUCUUGUUAUUUUCUAAUUGCUCCAUACUAUGCAAAGUUGUGGAGCUUGCUGAACUUAAAGCUUCUCUCUUCACAAAUUGUAGUAGUUGUCAGUAUCGUAUGAUACGUGAUACGUAUUUUAUUGUGCGUGAAAAGUUCCAUAUUAUAUCGGCAUAUCAUAAGUACUCAUGAAUCAUACGAUACAGUGUGCGUAUUGUAUGAAUCGUAUCGUAUCGUAUUGUAAAAUCGUACGAUAAAUAGACAAAUGCUUUAAAAUGAGUUUUUUGUUAAAAUUUCUACUUUUAUUUGAAUCUAACAAGUUGCUAGACUUGUUUUUAACACAAAAUUAUUAGGUUACUUAAUUUAGCCUAAUUAAAUAACAUAUCCAUAAGUUUUUUUCCCCCUCUUUCUUCUACAAAAUUUGGAUUACACAGUACACACUUACACUUCACUUUAAUAUUUACAAUUUAUUUUCUGUACUAUGAAUAAGAUGUUAGUUGACAAUAUAAUAAUUUUUAUUUUUGUCAUUAUUGUUAUUAGUUCAAGAAACUAGAAUACCAAGAAGAAUUAUUAUUUUUUAAAAAUUUAUUAAAAUAAAAAGAACAAGAAGAGAUAGUAAAUGUUAAUGAUGAUGAAGAAAAUUUUAAUGAAGAAAUAAGUUUGCAAAAUGAUAAAUAUGAUGAUAGCGUUGACUUAGAUGGGGUUGAUUAGGCAAUAUGAUGAAUAUAAAUUAUUAUUUUUGGGUCAUUUAUAAUAUAUUAUCACUUUUGAAUUUAAGCAAUUUGAAUUUGUAUGUUAUAAACACAUGCUAGUUUGAUUUAUUUAGUUAGCUUGUUUAUUAUCACAUAAGUGAUGAAUAAAUUAGUCAUUGAAUAUAUUCAAAAUUUAUAAUAAACAUAUCCUUUAUAUAUGUAUAUCUAUAAUUUUUUAUAAAUUUUAUUAAAUGUUUGUAUAUCUUACAAUACACACGAUACAAUACGAUAUACGAUACAGAAAAAUAAAAAAUUUAUUCACGAUACAAUUCACAUUUUGACUAUGAAUUGUAUAUGCUUCGCUAUGUGAUAGUGACACUGCUUUUCCUGAUUAGUUCUUGUCAUUAGUUUCUUCCCUUAGCUUCUGUUAACUUGUUGCAUAAUGCAGGGAACAGGGUCAGACUGCUGGUGGAGGUACAGGUAUGCAAGUCAAUCUUUGACAUUUGGUCUAAGAAAAAAACCUUUGAACUUCUGUUUGCUUCUUUGGCCAAUCUUCUAUUAUUAUCAUUGGUAAAAUCUAGUGGCAUAGUGACUGCAAGAGUAUGUCUUCUAGAUGUUGCUUCCUGUUAGAAACCUCCAACAUAUAAUUGCUGGAUUGCAUCAUUUGGGACAUCUGCAUACAAUAGGUGCUCUCAGUCAAGGUAGUCAAAGGCGAAAGGCGACCUUAAGGCACCAAGGCCUUGUAUCGCCCGAGGCGUGAGGCAACAAAAUGGCACUCGCCCGAGUAAAGCGAGGCGCCAAAUUCUUAAUAUAUUUAUUAUACAUAUAGAACUUAAAUCAUAUGUACCUAGUGUAUUAUAAUAUUAUAAGUAAGUAUUUUUCAAUGUGUAGCAUGAAGAAAUUAGGUCGAUCAAAUUAUUUCAAAAUAGGAUUAACAUGGUUUAGGCUCUAUUAAUUAGUUCUAACAAUACGUUUUACAAUAAGCUUCUAUAUAACAAUGAGUCUUACAAAACAAAUUUGUAAAUUAAUUUAACUAACAAUAGAUUUUAUAACAGGCCUUUUGAAAUUAAUAGUCUAAAAUAGGUUUCACAACAAACUUCUAUUAAAUUUUUUUUUUUUAAAAACUUGAGGCUCUUGCCUUAGUGCCUUUUUCAUGGCCUAAGGCGGUCGCCUUGCUCGCCUAGGCUCUAAAGGCGAGCACCUCACUAAAGGCGCCUUGCCUUAGAGCCUUUGAGGUGCCUUAGUGGCGCCUCGCCUCGCCUGGGCGCCUAGGGGAGCGCCCUGCUUGCCUUUGACUACACUGCUCUCAGCUAUAAAUGGGGUGGCUCUUAGCUAAACAUCUCUAUACAUUAAUUUUGAGUGAGUGGAAAGUUCUAUAUCUUUAUAGUAAGAAGGAAUUGGUUCAUCGUUUUGCUAGUUGGGGGGUUUUUGGGGGGGUUUGUUUGGAGGAUAUUUAGGAUUUUUCUGCCGUAAUAGAGGGCUUUAUUUUUGUCAUUUUCUUGAGGAAGGCCUUUGUCUCAAACCCCUGGAAAGAUGGCAAAAAUUAUUUAUGAUGGAAAAUAUUUGUUCAUCCCUUUCCCCUCAAAUUAUUUAUUUUUUACAAUGUGGGUUGUUUGUUAAAGUUUUCACGGGGUCAUUGAACAACGUAGGAUUGGAGAUGUUGAUGAACAUGUUUGGUGGACUCGGAGCUGGCAGCCUGGCUGUUCCCAACAGAUCUAAUGGUUACUAUACUCUCCUGUCUUUACUUUUCUUUCUAAUUCCUUUUCUUAAUGGAUAUCUUGUUGCUUACGUUUGUUUGGUACUUAUUCUGUUUAUCUUCCCAGCACCACCGGAAGAACUCUACGCCACCCAGCUGUCACAGCUUCAAGAAAUGGGUUUCUUUGACACACAAGAGAAUAUACGGGCAUUGAUUGCCACUGCUGGAAAUGUUCAUGCAGCAGUAGAGCGACUGUUGGGGAACUCUGGUCAGUAGUUUCUUGUUAUUAUCCAAUUUUAUCUGAUGAUGUUGCCUGCUGGCUUGCUGAAAUCGGUUGCUUUGGACCUGAGUUGUAUUCAAGCCUCAUAUAUUUGUUGCAAAUAAGUCCAAAGUAUGUUAGCAAGAGUUGCAAAGUUGGUGUAGGUUAUCAUCCUUGGGCUGUUCUAUCUAUCUCUUUCUCUAGAGGUAUGGCCGGCAGGAGUUUCUUGUACAUACUUAAUAUUAAGAUGCGACAUGUGAUCAUAUGAAUUGUUUGCCACAUUAUUAACUAAAUUGGAAUAUGUGACAUUUUUGUUAUAUUUCCUUUUCAAUUUCUUUUUAUCUUUAGAAGUAUGUAGUGUUUUAACAAAAUUUAUCUAACAACUGCUGAUUGGUAUUUUGCAAUCCCUAUUUUUAGCUCUCUCCUUGGAUGUAUUUUAUCCUCUUAUUGCUUGGUAAUUUUCUGGACUAUGUGGGAAUGAGGUAGAGAAAGAAAAGGAAAGAAACUUUUUAAUUUUUAUUUUUGAGAAACAAAAGGAAAGAAACUUAAAUUAAUGGAGGCAGUACCAUAAUUUUAUAUGUAAGUCUCUUCUAACAUUGAUCUUGUUGCUUCCUAAUGGUCCAUUUGGAUUGAGGGAGAAAGAGAGAGAGAGGGAGAGAGAGUAGAGGAGAGUAAAAUAGAGUUGACCCAAAAUUAAUCUAUUUUUAGCAAACGGUACACUACUUUCCCUUUUUCCCCCUUCAAUCCAAACAGGGCCCUAAAAGUCCCACGGGCCAUGGGAUGGCACUGCAAAUGAGUUGGUCAUUCUCUCUUCCUUUGUAUUUAUUUUUUGCUUUCUAUCUUUCUUCUCUCUUCAUUAGGGGAAAGGGGGUGGUUGAAACUUGAAAGCAUUGGCCAUAUAGCCCAAUGAUGGGUCUUGUUAAGUUUCAAUAUCACCAUGUGUUUUGCAGUUUGGUGAAUUGGUGUGGUGCGAAAAGCUACUUAAUAUAUAUACACUUGUUAUUUAAUAAAUAAAUAAAAAAAAAUUAUGAAAUUUGUUUGGUUGUUUUAUUCAAAAUGACAUUGAAUUAUGUUUAGUUUAACUUGAAAUAAUUUAAUAUUGUCUAUAAUUCUUAAAAGACUUAAAAGAAAAUUGGAAAAAAAUAAACACACACACACAUAUAUAUAUAUAUAUAUAUUAUAAUAAUGUCAUGGGACAAUUGAAGUGCUUUUAAAAUUUAUGUGCGAUGUUCGAAGAAGUCAACAAAAUUUAAAUAAUUUUCAUUUUAUCUAUAUUAUAGAACUUCCUUACAUUUUAAAGAUCAAAUUUAAUUUAAUUAGAAUUUAGGUUUUCAUUAGAAAUAUAAUUAGAAUUUAGGUUUUCCUUACUAUAGUUUUGUGUUUUAAUUAUGUUUGAAUGACUUUGAUUAGUAUGUACUGCAAAUUUAAUAAUACUACUAUUGUGUGCAGCUGGUGCGGAGUAA